UGGUAUAGCAACCCGAACUUUGUUUUGUUUAGUAAAUAAACAAAUUUGCGGUGACAAAUUUUGGUGGAAAAUUACAAAAUUGCUACGUCCCUUAAACAUGUCUUCUGACGCUAAUAAGGUCUCCAAUUUUAUUUUACGUGCCUUGAAAGAUCAAAAGAAUCACUCGUCGACGAAUGUUGGUGUAUCUGAAGAGCAAUUGCGGAACAUUCUCACGGACAAAUACCGUUUCGAACUUUGGCGUUAUACGCAGAGCCGGGGACAAAUAUUAUUUGGGGGAUGUUUCGCUAGACAUUGUUGAGGGUCGUCGCCGUAGGAAGAAGGGUGGUUCGUCUAGGAGCCGGUCACAUGGUAAAUCUAAACGGGGAAAAGGUCGAAGAAGGAAGCGGAGUGCUUCUUCCUCAAGUCGUUCCUCUUCCCGUGGAAGAAGCCGGAGCAGAAGACGCAGGGGGCGAUCGUGUAAUUAGACCUAUAUGUUUGUGGAAAUUAUACUAUUUCAUUAUCAUUGUAAAUCUUUUGCGGUUAUAAAAUAUACAUCUGUAAAUAAAUUCACUAGCUUUUGGUAA